GGCCCCAAAUUUAAAGUAGGGUAGACUUGUAGGAUCAGGUGACCAUACUGAUCUACACUACUUCAAGUUUGUGCCC
rfam:Haemonchus contortus, ISE/inbred ISE, WGS project CAVP01000000 data, contig: Hcontortus_contig_pathogens_Hcontortus_scaffold_3942